CUUGCUCCAGUAAAAUAAAUCACAUUUUGAAUUUAGAGCGUAAACACUAUAUACAAAAUAUACAGUGUAUCAAGUCGACUGCAGUUAUUUAAAUUCACAGGCGGCAACAUCCAACCACAACUUUGCAUCACUGCCGUCUUGCACAUAUCAGCUCAUGACCACAUCCUCAGGAGCGACCUUCCUGUCCCAUUUAAACUUCCUGUGACACGGAAAUUUGCAUUCCGGCAGAGGCAUAAAAAGCCUACGGUGCAACUGUUUUAUCCCCUGAUGGUGUGUAAAGAGCCACGGCCUUUUAAGCCAUCGAGGGAACGACUGAAAACUCAGUUUCAAAAAUCAUAG
rnacentral:lncRNA from 1 species